rnacentral:rRNA from 1 species
ACAGGGAUUGCCCUAGUAACGGCGAGUGAAGCGGCAACAGCUCAAAUUUGAAAUCUGGCGUCUUCGGCGUCCGAGUUGUAAUUUGCAGAGGGCGCUUUGGCAUUGGCAGCGGUCCAAGUUCCUUGGAACAGGACGUCACAGAGGGUGAGAAUCCCGUACGUGGUCGCUAGCCUUUACCGUGUAAAGCCCCUUCGACGAGUCGAGUUGUUUGGGAAUGCAGCUCUAAAUGGGAGGUAAAUUUCUUCUAAAGCUAAAUACUGGCCAGAGACCGAUAGCGCACAAGUAGAGUGAUCGAAAGAUGAAAAGCACUUUGGAAAGAGAGUUAAAAAGCACGUGAAAUUGUUGAAAGGGAAGCGCUUGCAGCCAGACUUGCCUGUAGUUGCUCAUCCGGGUUUUUACCCGGUGCACUCUUCUAUAGGCAGGCCAGCAUCAGUUUGGGCGGUUGGAUAAAGGUCUCUGUCAUGUACCUCCUUUCGGGGAGAACUUAUAGGGGAGACGACAUGCAACCAGCCUGGACUGAGGUCCGCGCAUCUGCUAGGAUGCUGGCGUAAUGGCUGUAAGCGGCCCGUCUUGAAACACGGACCAAGGAGUCUAACAUCUAUGCGAGUGUUUGGGUGUCAAGCCCGAACGCGUAAUGAAAGUGAACGGAGGUGGGAACCUUUCGGGGUGCACCAUCGACCGAUCCUGAUGUCUUCGGAUGGAUUUGAGUAAGAGCAUAGCUGUUGGGACCCGAAAGAUGGUGAACUAUGCUUGAAUAGGGUGAAGCCAGAGGAAACUCUGGUGGAGGCUCGCAGCGGUUCUGACGUGCAAAUCGAUCGUCAAAUUUGGGCAUAGGGGCGAAAGACUAAUCGAGCAUCUUUGGC